rnacentral:lncRNA from 1 species
UUUCCCUGUCUCCAAUUUUUCAAAUCCCUUAUAUGGAUUUUUUUUUUCUGUCUGCCAGUGUGAUACUUUAUUAAUUUCGCUCAGCACUUGGAGGUCAAUAAAGCCCCACCUACCUUUAUGUAGUCCUUUGUGCUAAAGUGAGUUUCCCAUAGACUUCAAAGACCUAAAUUAGUUUUUUCAAAGAAGAGAUUCAUUUUCUUAGUUCAAAAAAAAAAGCCUAUGUUUAUUGUUCUUCUGGACUUUUUUUUUUUUUUAGCCUUUAUAGGGCCGCACCACAGCAUAUGGAAGUUCCCAGGCUAGGGGUCAAAUUGGAGCUGUAGCUGCCAGUCUACACCACAGCUGCCACAAUGAAGGAUCCGAGCCAUGUCUGUGACCUACACCACAACUUACAUUAACACCAGAUCCUUAGCCCACUGAGUGAGGCCAGGGAUCAAACCCUCAUCCUCAUGGAUACUAGUCAGGUUUGUUGACACUGGGGGAGCCACAAUGGGAACUCCAGAACAUAUUUUUUAAAAAAUAUAUAGCAAAAAACAGAGGCACCAUCACAUUUUUAUACCUAUGUGCAGUUCUCCAGAAAGUUCCUUUUUAAUACUGACCGGCCAAGGUUUCUGACAUGCUCUGAAACAUACUGCUGACUGCCACCCGUGACCAGGUUCAUUCAUUGUAGUAGAAGUUGCGUUGUGUUGCUGGUCAUCCUUGGAGUGCAGGGCCUCUUGGGACCUCUCCUUUUCUGGUACUUUCAGGGACAUAGAAGAUAUAAGAGCACAGAGGCUUGACCUGGGUGCAGCUUCCAAAUCCACAGUGGUCAGGGCCGUUCGUUUAUCUGCCACCACCAAAAUGCUUUGGCCAUGGACCCAGAAAGCUCUAGAUCUCUGAAACUUCAGAUUAUUUGAGGCCCUUAAAUAGACAACUCUCUAUGGAGUCUGGCCUCAAUUGUUUAACAGUAACUUUCGUUCUGUUUUUCUUAUGGUUUUUUCCUGUUCCAUUGCUAUUUAUGCUAUACCUGUUUUAAAUUUGAAGACACUGCUUUGUGUUACUGUGUUUUCCUUUGUGAUUCAACUGCAGUCUCCUUCCCAUCCCCUUAGAUAUCAAUGAAGUAACAAUAAUAAACUCCCCAGGUGCCUUCUUACCUGGGAUGCCUGCCUCUGAGUAACAUCUUCAGUUUCUCUCCACCAGCUGCCCGGCUCUAGCGUUCAAAGCUUGAACCACUCUCAACUUUUACUUCUUUGCUGAUAAAAAGUAUUUUUAUUAUUCUACAAUUUUAUUAUUCUACAUUAUUCUACAAUUUCUCCAAGGCCCUUUCUAAUUAAUCACCUGGCACCUGCCCUGGUAUUAAAAGAUGCUCCCUACCUUCCUGUGAUGAGAAAGUAGAUUAAAUGGGGACAGGCUAGCUUUUCUAGGUACCCCGUUGAUUCCUGUGUGAGCAUUCUGAUUCAAGAAUAAUUUCUAUCCUUUUCUGAUUUCUACUGUAGUUUCCCACUUCGGACCUAUUCUUCUUAAGUUGCAAUUAGAGGAAACUGUGUGUGUGUGUGUGUGUGUGUGUGUGUGUGUGUGUGUGUGUGUGUGUGUGUGUUUAUAUAGAUACCAUGAAUACAUACAUGUUAAACAGGCUGCCUUGAGAAGCACUUAGAAUAAGAUGAUAUUAUAGUCCCUGUUGCUCUGGUCACUCUUGCUUUAGAAUAACAACUAGUAGAGACCCCACCAUGGCCUUUUUUAGUUAUCAGAGUUUUGUUUUGUUUUUUGGUUUUUGGGUUUUUUAUUAUUUUUAAGGGCUGCACUUUCAGCACAUGGAAGUUCCCAGGCCAGGACUCCAAUCAGAGCUACAGCUGCUGGCCUACGUCACAGCCACAGAAUGUGGGAUCUGAGCCACUUCUGCAACCUAUACCACAGCUCAUGGCAAUGCCAGAUCCUUAACUCAGCAAGAGAAGCCCAGGGAUUGAACCCACAUCCUCAUGGUUACUAAUUGGGUUCAUUUCUACGGAGCCACAACGGGAACUCCUACAUGAAGUUUUUUUAAACAAAAUCCCAGGCUGAGCUAUUGACUGAGCCAUGCCUGUGUGCACUUGCUCCAGACCGGUCCUAAUUAGAGGCUGUUUAAUAAAUUGGGUCUGUGCUGCCGGCACCUUUUUGACCUUUGUUCUCUCGUUGUCUCCCAUGAAUCCCCUUGCCCUCUGGUGUUCCCUCUAAACUUGGGAAAUUCACUAAUUCUGAUUCCAUUUGUGGACCUUCUGAGCUUGUUCGAGCCCUUCAGGAGGUUUGCUUGAGCUAAUAACCAUCUGUCACUGCCCGUGUUUUACUGCUGCAGCUCAUGCUGCUGGAGACCAAGGCAGGGCCCUCAGCAUACUGCCCGUAUCUUUAAAUCAAAGCGCGAUCGUUAAGGAACAUACCCCAAACAUCUUUGCCGUAUAAAACUGCGAAGUUACAUUAGGUGUAGCACUUUAACCUUUGCCGUGUUGAAGAGGUAAUGAUAUCAGAAUUUGGCGUCCAUCCCUCAAGGGCCCAUAAAUACACUGUAUGGAUGCCAGGUUAUAGAUCACAGGCUUACAAAACGUUUCUUGCCUCCAUUACUUUAAAAACAAGGCAACUGGCACAUCACACCCAUCAGGGAUGAUCUGCUCCUACACCUCACUUCUUCUUCUUCUAAGAGUGUUUGCGAUAAGAAACCUGAGAAUGUGGGUUCAAUCCCUGGCCUCGCUCAGUGUAUUAAGGAUCCAGUGAUGCCAUGAGAUGCAGUGUGGGUCACAGACACUGCUCAGAUCCCACGUUGCUGUGGCUGUCGUGUAGGCCGGCAGCUGCAGCUCUGGUUUGACCGCUAGCCUAGGAACCUCGAUAUGCCACAGGUGCAGCGCCCCCCCCAAAAAAAGGAAAAAUGAUUGGUCACCCACUCCUUGGCACUACUCAGAAUGGUCCCAGAUAUUGACCUUGCUUUCUGUGAUGUUCUGUGGGCCAGUGACCUUUUUUCUGAGUUCCCAGGAAGCACUAAAUACCAAAGGCAAAUGCUUCACUGUGCCAGAACUCCCCUUUUCCAGGCUUAUGAAAGACAAAAGCAAAAAAACCAAACAUACAGGAAUUCCUGCUGUGGUGCAACAGGACCAGUGGCAUCUCUGCAGCACCAGGAUGCAGGUUCCACCCCUGGCCAGGCACAGUGGAUUCCAGCUCUGAUCCCCGGCCUGGGAAUUCCACAUGCCAUGGGGCAGCCAAAAAAGAAAAACAAACAAAC